UGAGAGUUGGAUCUUGCUAACAGGAGAUCCAUAGCUGAGAUGUUGCUUUCAGGAGUUAUAAGUAAGACUGAGUGGACCUGGAGGAAUACGUGUGCUCUGGGUACAGUCUAAUUUCAAAUAUAUAUUAACAUAGAACAAAUAUCAAAAAUACCUUACAGUGCAAUAAAUAUAGAUGCUCGAAUCUCCCCUAGGAGAUCUGCCAACGGAAGCAGGAAGCUGCUUUUCAGAGAAAUCUGCAUCAGCUGGCCGGCUCUGAAGCACUCCUGACUGCAAACAGGAAUGGAGAAUGUUGAGGUUUACAUGUGUGAAACAAUGAAAUGCUAUUUUCCAUUGUGAAGGAAAUAUCUCUCAUUACUAAAAAUUUAAAAGAAAAAAAAUCUGAAGAUCAAAAAUGAAGUUAUUCCAGGCUGAGCCCACAUUGUAAUUUUAGUUCUUUGUGUGUAGACUGUGAAGUACAGUGACCACUUCCUACAGACUGGUUUCUGAAAUUCUGGUUUUGUCACUUGAGAAUAAUGUAAUUUAGUUGAUGUGCUGAUAACUCAACCAUAAUUUUAGUUACUUACUGUAGAUCAGAAGUGGUAUGGGUUGUUUAAAACUACGUUCAUGUAUGUGAAAGACUAAAUUUAGACAUCUGAAUUUUCAUGUAUAUGUUCAUAU